rnacentral:rRNA from 1 species
UACAGAGGGGGCAAGCGUUGUUCGGAAUUACUGGGCGUAAAGGGCGCGUAGGCGGCCUUCUAAGUCGAACGUGAAAUCCCUGGGCUCAACUCAGGAACUGCGUCCGAUACUGGAAGGCUUGAAUCCGGGAGAGGGAUGCGGAAUUCCAGGUGUAGCGGUGAAAUGCGUAGAUAUCUGGAGGAAUACCGGUGGCGAAGGCGGCAUCCUGGACCGACAUUGACGCUGAUGAGCGAAAGCUAGGGGAGCAAACGGG